rnacentral:pre_miRNA from 1 species
AGGAGGAAGAUGGCUAAGGAGUCCAGUCUUCGCUUUUAAAAUUCCUCCAUUAAUCAUUCCUAAUGGAGGAAUUUUAAAAGCGAAGACUGGACUCCUUAGCCAUCUUUGUG